CCUACGGGUGGCAGCAGUGGGGGAUAUUGGACAAUGGGGGCAACCCUGAUCCAGCGAAGCCGCGUGAGUGAAGAAGUACUUCGGUAUGUAAAGCUCUUUCAGCCGGGAAGAAAGACAUGACGGUACUUGCGUAAGAAACCCCGGCUAACUACGAACCAGCAGCCGCGGUAAUACGUAGGGGGCAAGCGUUAUCCGGAAUUACUGGGUGGAAAGGGAGCGUAGACGGUAAUGCAAGUCUGGAGUGAAAGGCGCGGGCCCAACCCGCGGACUGCUCUUGAGACUGGGUAACUGGAGUGCAGGAGAGGGAGGCGGAAUGCCUAGUGUAGCGGUGAAAUGCGUAGAUAUGAGGAGGAACACCAGUGGCGAAGGCGGCCUGCUGGACUGUAACUGACGUUGAGGCUCGAAAGCGUGGGGAGCAAACAGGAUUAGAUACCCCAGUAGUC
rnacentral:rRNA from 1 species